AUACUUACCUGGGCGGGGUCGAUCGAUGAUCAGGAAGGUCGAUGGCCUAGGAAGGCCACCUCCAUUGCACUUGGGAGGGGGGUCUAUCUAGCAUCUCCCACUGAGGAGAGGGCAUGUCAUAAUUUGUGGCAAAGGAGACUCGUGUUCGCGCGGCCUCCAC
rnacentral:snRNA from 1 species